CGAUGAUGCCCAGCUUGCUGGGUGGAUUAGUGGCGAACGGGUGAGUAACACGUGAGUAACCUGCCCCUGACUCUGGGAUAAGCGUUGGAAACGACGUCUAAUACUGGAUAUGAUCACUGGCCGCAUGGUCUGGUGGUGGAAAGAUUUUUUGGUUGGGGAUGGACUCGCGGCCUAUCAGCUUGUUGGUGAGGUAAUGGCUCACCAAGGCGACGACGGGUAGCCGGCCUGAGAGGGUGACCGGCCACACUGGGACUGAGACACGGCCCAGACUCCUACGGGAGGCAGCAGUGGGGAAUAUUGCACAAUGGGCGAAAGCCUGAUGCAGCAACGCCGCGUGAGGGAUGACGGCCUUCGGGUUGUAAACCUCUUUUAGUAGGGAAGAAGCGAAAGUGACGGUACCUGCAGAAAAAGCACCGGCUAACUACGUGCCAGCAGC
rnacentral:rRNA from 1 species